rnacentral:lncRNA from 1 species
GAGCCUGCAGCUUGGCACUGGCCAGGGUCUAAGAAGAAGGGCUGAGAGAAUGGCAUUUCUGGCCUGCUGGCCCCAUGCUGCAGGUGCCUGCCCUGUCUCCCCACCCUUGCAGGUCCUGAGCCAGCUGGAGGCCUGUGGCCUCGUGGAGACCAUCCAUAUCAGUGCUGCUGGCUUCCCCAUCCGGGUCUCUCACCGAAACUUUGUAGAACGAUACAAGUUACUAAGAAGGCUUCAUCCUUGCACAUCCUCUGGCCCCGACAGCCCAUAUCCUGCCAAAGGGCUCCCUGGUGAGUGGGACCCAUGAGUUAGUCAUUUGUGCAACCACAGUUUACUGAGCAUCUACCCUGUGCCCUGUCUUAGGGCUAGGGGCUGGGGCUUACUGGUGAAUAAAACACAGCCCUGGUUUUGGUUCAGUGGGGGAAACAGAUUCAAAAAAGACAAAUAGCAUGGAAAGUGGAAAAGCAGAGCUAUGAGCAGGAUGCUGUGGGUGGUGCUAGGGAGGUGUGAAUUGGGGAAGGCUUCCUGGAAGAGGUAGUAUCUGAGAAUAAAUUGGAUUAGCCAGGUGAUGG